rnacentral:rRNA from 1 species
UGGGGAAUUUUGCACAAUGGGGGAAACCCUGAUGCAGCGACGCCGCGUGUACGAUGAAGAUCUUCGGAUUGUAAAGUACUGUCCUUGGUGAAGAUAAUGACUGUAACCAAGAAGCAAGCCCUGGCUAAAUACGUGCCAGCAGCCGCGGUAAUACGUAUGGGGCAAGCGUUGUCCGGAAUUAUUGGGCGUAAAGGGUACGUAGGCGGUUAUUUAAGUCUAAAUUAAAAGGCAUUGGCUCAACCAAUGUAAGGUUUAGAUACUGGGUAACUUGAGGAGAUGAGGGGGAAGUGGAAUUCCAUGUGUAGCGGUGAAAUGCGUAGAUAUUAAAAAGAAUACCGGUGGCGAAGGCGGCUUACUGGGCUCAUUCUGACGCUGAGGAACGAAAGCGUGGGUAGCAAACAGG